GUGGUGAUAGCGGAGAGGAAACACCCGUUCCCAUCCCGAACACGGAAGUUAAGCUCUCCAGCGCCGAUGGUAGUUGGGGCCAGCGCCCCUGCAAGAGUAGGUCGCUGCUAGGCAAUU
rnacentral:rRNA from 1 species